rnacentral:tRNA from 1 species
GUUUUGAUAGUUUAUAAAAAUAUUAUAUUGUGGUUAUAAAGAAGAAUUUUUCUCAGAACA